rnacentral:rRNA from 1 species
CUGCUGCCUUCCGUAGGAGUUUGGGCCGUGUCUCAGUCCCAAUGUGGCCGUUCACCCUCUCAGGCCGGCUACUGAUCGUUGCCUUGGUAGGCCAUUACCCCACCAACUAGCUAAUCAGACGCGGAACCAUCGUAUACCACCAGAGUUUUUCACACCGCUUCAUGCGAAGCUGUGCGCUUAUGCGGUAUUAGCACCUAUUUCUAAGUGUUAUCCCCCAGUAUACGGCAGGUUUUCCACGCGUUACUCACCCGUCCNCCCG